rnacentral:rRNA from 1 species
UACGAAGGGGGGCUAGCGUUGCUCGGAAUCACUGGGCGUAAAGCGCACGUAGGCGGCUUUUUAAGUCAGGGGUGAAAUCCUGGAGCUCAACUUCGGAACUGCCCUUGAUACAGCACGUCUGAGUCCGGAAGAGGUGGGUGGAAUUCCUAGUGUAGAGGUGAAAUUCGUAGAUAUUAGGAAGAACACCGGUGGCGAAGGCGGCCCACUGGUCCGGUACUGACGCUGAGGUGCGAAAGCGUGGGGAGCAAACAGG